rnacentral:rRNA from 1 species
AGAGACAGCAGUAGCCGCGGGAAUACAGAGGGUGCAAGCGUUAAUCGGAAUUACUGGGCGUAAAGCGCGCGUAGGUGGUUUGUUAAGUUGGAUGUGAAAUCCCCGGGCUCAACCUGGGAACUGCAUCCAAAACUGGCAAGCUAGAGUAUGGUAGAGGGUGGUGGAAUUUCCUGUGUAGCGGUGAAAUGCGUAGAUAUAGGAAGGAACACCAGUGGCGAAGGCGACCACCUGGACUGAUACUGACACUGAGGUGCGAAAGCGUGGGGAGCAAACAGGAUUAGAUACCCGUGUAGUCCCUGUCUCUUAUAC